rnacentral:rRNA from 1 species
AUACGUAGGUGACAAGCGUUAUCCGGAUUUACUGGGUGUAAAGGGCGUGUAGGCGGUUUAGCAAGUCAGAAGUGAAAUUCCCGGGCUUAACUUGGGCGCUGCUUCUGAAACUGCUUUACUUGAGUGCUGGAGAGGAUAGUGGAAUUCCUAGUGUAGCGGUAAAAUGCGCAGAUAUUAGGAGGAACACCGGUGGCGAAGGCGGCUAUCUGGACAGUAACUGACGCUGAGGCGCGAAAGCACGGGGAGCAAACAGGAUUAGAUACCCUGGUAGUCCGUGCCGUAAACGAUGAAUACUAGGUGUAGGGGGUAUCGACUCCCUCUGUGCCGCAGUUAAAACAUUAAGUAUUCCACCUGGGGAGUACGGCCGCAAGGUUGAAACUCAAAGGAAUUGACGGG